UAAGGAAUAUUGGUCAAUGGACGCAAGUCUGAACCAGCCAUGCCGCGUGGAGGAUGAAGGUCCUCUGGAUUGUAAACUUCUUUUAUCUGGGACGAAACACUUCUUUUCUAAGAGGCCUGACGGUACCAGAUGAAUAAGCACCGGCUAACUCCGUGCCAGCAGCCGCGGUAAUACGGAGGGUGCAAGCGUUAUCCGGAUUCACUGGGUUUAAAGGGUGCGUAGGUGGGUAUGUAAGUCAGUGGUGAAAUCCCCGAGCUUAACUUGGGAACUGCCAUUGAUACUAUAUAUCUUCAAUACCGUAGAGGUAAGCGGAAUAUGUCAUGUAGCGGUGAAAUGCUUAGAUAUGACAUGGAACACCAAUUGCGAAGGCAGCUUACUAUGCGGUGAUUGACACUGAGGCACGAAAGCGUGGGUAGCAAACA
rnacentral:rRNA from 1 species